UAGGGAAUCUUCGGCAAUGGACGAAAGUCUGACCGAGCAACGCCGCGUGAGUGAAGAAGGUUUUCGGAUCGUAAAACUCUGUUGGUAGAGAAGAACGUUGGUGAGAGUGGAGAGCUCAUCAAGUGACGGUAACUACCCAGAAAGGGACGGCUAACUACGUGCCAG
rnacentral:rRNA from 1 species